GUGUCAGCAGCCGCGGUAAGACGAACCGUGCGAACGUUGUUCGGAAUCACUGGGCUUAAAGGGCGCGUAGGCGGACCACCAAGUCCGGGGUGAAAUCCUCCGGCUUAACCGGAGAAUUGCCUGGGAUACUGGUGGUCUUGAGGGAGGUAGGGGCACGCGGAACUUCCGGUGGAGCGGUGAAAUGCGUUGAUAUCGGAAGGAACGCCGGUGGCGAAAGCGGCGUGCUGGCCCUCUUCUGACGCUGAGGCGCGAAAGCCAGGGGAGCGAACGGGAUUAGAUACCCCCGUAGUCC
rnacentral:rRNA from 1 species